rnacentral:snRNA from 1 species
GGAUGUGAGGGCAAUCUGGCUGCGACAUCUGUCACCCCAUUGAUCGCCAGGGUUGCUCCAGCUGAUCUGGCUGGCUAGGUGGGUGUCCCUUUCCUCCCUCACAGCUCCAUGUGUGUCCCUCCCGAAGCUGCGCGCUCAGUUGAAGAGGAUGGCCUUCCCCGAAGAGAGACGGACCGGUCUUCGGUCGAGGGUAUAUGAGUAGCUGCGCUCCCUUGCUAGCACCUCCAAACAAGCUCUCAAGAAAGAAAGAAAGAGACCAAACAAGAAAGAAAGAAAAA